UACGAGAUUAGCCAACAUAAGUAAAGAGGGGAAGGAGGGUGAGAGCUUGGGGUAGAGGGAGAGGUUCUGAUUGAGGGAAAGGGUUAAGGAAGGUUUCUGGAACAUAGGUCUAGGUACCACCUUAUCUAGCUCUUCUCCCUGCAUUGUGAGCCGGUGAGAGAGAAGUGAGGAGUCUAGGGUCCACGUCUUUAACUUUAUGGCUCCAUCGUGUCCUGAUUAUUUUCUCCCUCAAAAUAAUGUGUGUUUCUUCUUCUUUACAGGGAAGAGGUACACUAUUUGACACUCUUCUAACUACUUUGCUCUCGACGUCUCGAUUAUAAUAACCGUGUAUUUGUUUGUUGAUUUUAUUCACAUAUGAUACGAACUGUUUACUAGGUACCGAACUAUCUACGGAUUCCAUACAUUGAUGCAUUCACCUUGAUCGACACUCAGUACAGACUUUAUAAAGAACAGAAAUACCACCGUAACAUAUGUAUAAGUACAAAGAACACGUAUAAAUCGUUUCAUAAGUCGUUUUGUGAAUGUGAAGUAAGAACAAACAGGGCCUUAGGAAAUAUUAACACACGGGUUUCGAUAUCAUACGUACUACAAAGAUAUAUAAAUAACAACAGUAAAUAGAAAUGUUAAUCCAUACCACACGGAUUAUUGUUCUUUACUCGUUACAACUUAAGAACGUACUUUCCAUUGUUUUUUUUUCCUCAGUAAGAUAACGUCAUCAACAAGAUUAGAUCUGUACUAUUAUACAUAACCUCUAACGACCGGCACGACCACUAAACCCUCUAGUCCGGACUCGUGUUGGCAGUGCAUAAAUGGUAAGUAUAAGCGACGUCUCGAGUGUACGUAACGGAAACUCCUUCGGUCACAACAUUCCUCCGACUACGUUUCGUACAGUAAAAACUGUCAUCAGAUCGAAUCACUUGGUUGACGGUAACACGCAAUAGAGAAGACGAAAAGAAGACAAGAUGUUAUAAACAAGGAAGAUAGUCAAUUUAAUACAACCCAGUAAUAUGACAUAGGAUAUAGAGAGAGCCCAGAGUAUAAGUA
rnacentral:rRNA from 1 species